rnacentral:rRNA from 1 species
CCGGGAAACUGGGUAUAAUCCCCGAUAGAUCUCGGUCGCUGGAAAGCCCCGAGAUCGAAAGCUCCGGCGCCAGAGGAUGGGUCUGCGGCCUAUCAGGUAGUAGUGGGUGUAGCGUACCUACUAGCCUACGACGGGUACGGGUUGUGAGAGCAAGAGCCCGGAGAUGGAUUCUGAGACACGAAUCCAGGCCCUACGGGGUGCAGCAGGCGCGAAAACUUUACAAUGCCGGCAACGGCGAUAAGGGGACCUCGAGUGCCAGGUUACAAAUCUGGCUGUCGUGAUGCCUAAAAAGCAUUGCAUAGCAAGGGCCGGGCAAGACCGGUGCCAGCCGCCGCGGUAACACCGGCGGCUCGAGUGGUAACCGUUAUUAUUGGGUCUAAAGGGUCUGUAGCCGGCCGGAUAAGUCUCUUGAGAAAUCCAGCAGCUCAACUGUUGGGCUUUCAGGAGAUACUGUCUGGCUCGAGGCCGGGAGAGGUGAGAGGUACUUCAGGGGUAGGGGUGAAAUCUUGUAAUCCCUGUGGGACCACCAGUGGCGAAGGCGUCUUACCAGAACGGGUCCGACGGUGAGGGACGAAAGCUGGGGGCACGAACCGGAUUAGAUACCCGGGUAGUCCCAGCUGUAAACUAUGCUCGCUAGGUGUCAGGGACGGUGCGACCGUUUCUGGUGCCGCAGGGAAGCCGUGAAGCGAGCCACCUGGGAAGUACGGUCGCAAGGCUGAAACUUAA